AUUGUCUAUAAAGGGGAGUAACUUAUUACAGUAAAGUCGUCAUUACAGGGAGAAACCCUCGGCUUUAUUGGCAACGUUCCGUUGUUAGUGAGACCUUUACCAGCAAU
rnacentral:misc_RNA from 1 species